rnacentral:lncRNA from 10 species
GCCAAAUCCUCUGUCAGACACAUUUUCCUUGUCAAAUCAUGCCCGUCCCACCUCACUGACACUGAUAGUCCUGGGAGCCAAUUCUGAUGCCAACCUGUGUUGAACUCCUAGAUUCAGCAUCACUUGCCUUGGAACUGAAUUGUCUACUGAGCUCUGGGAAGCUUUAUGAAAAAGAGGCCAGAGGAGGGAGACUGGCGUUGCCUGGGCCAAGGAAGCUCCUUAGAGAUGAGGUCACAGAACAUCAGAGCUGACGAGAUGAGACCAACUGCCUCAUUUUACAGAUGAGGAAAUGAAGAUCAAAGCGUGGAGUGACUUGCUCAAGGUCAUGCCCCCAGCUUGUGACAGAGUGGAAAUGAGAACAUGGCAUUAGUCCUUGCAGCUUGAACUUUUGAAAGAGCAAAAAUCCUGGGGUGAAGACCAUGGAAAGCUGCAAACACAGAUUUGUAUUAAGAACAUGCAGACGUCUAAUGCGUGAAGUAGGAGGAUUUUUCUAGAAAUGUACUGCUCUGCAAAUGUACCCCCACCUUAGAUAGAGAUAUGAGCACAGAGAAAUGUUUUGGCAAGAAAUAGAACAGUGCCAAAGGAAUGGAAAACAGUGACUGACCUGAGGCCUCAGCAUCCCAGGACAAGACAGAACACAGGAGCAUGGCCACCAGGUCUCAAGGGGGCCACUCCGGCUGGUUAUGGCCACCUAAGAAUUCAACCCUGGUAAUAUUACCAGGUUGUCCGAUUUUAAAGAGAAGUGAGAAAUUAAGGUUAUUGUGUAAAAUCCCCCAGUUUAGGAAAGCUGUGGCAGUAGAUUGUGAUCUGCUUGUUGAAACUUGCAUGUAACACACCAGUCCUUGAGACGUAUGAACCUGUACUCUGAUGACUAUUGAAGGACAUACCUCUUGCCAUGUACGAGAGGCUGGGUAUAUGUCCCCCUACUUCUCACCUCCACUUAGAAAAAAAGGCAACCCUCUCCUCCCCACAGAGCUUAUUUAUUCCUUCUGUAUACCUAAACAUUGAUGAAACAGACUGCACCAUUGCGUUCUUUUAAAUUCAACUCUUAAGACAUUGCUUUUUAAACGAGGACAAUGAAGUUUCAGCUUGGCAACCUGACCUAGAAAUGAUUAUCAAAAUUAGAGGUAUAAUGCUUCUUUAUAUGGUUCUAUUUUCUCCAAAGAGUAUUUUUUUAAUAAGUCAGAAGGGAAAAGUUAAUUAAAAAAAUUCAGAAGGCAAAUCGAACGAUAUGUUUAUUUGAAGAGUCAGAUCAGUCAUCAGGUAGUUUAAGAAGCCACUGGCAAAAUGGAAAGAACUUCAGUUACGGAGUCACCAAACCCGUUAAAUCCCAGUUUUGCUACUCAUCCUUCAUCUCUGUUAAAUGAGUAUAGUAUAAUUCCUAUAUAUCAGGGUAUUGUAAAGCUUAAUGAUAAGUUUUGGGACACAUGGUGGAUUGUGAAUAAAAGGUAGUCAUGGCUUAUAUGGUGACUUUACCUCAUGUGCACCACCCACCAUCAGAUUAAGUGAGCUGUGGGGAACCCUAGUGAACAUUCAAAUCCACAUGUGUUCAUGAGAACGAACCAACCUGAGGUAGACACACAGCUGAGUUUGUCUUUGUUUCUCCUGUUGGCCACCUCUGCAGAGCACCACACAACCAUGUGGGAUUGUUUGAGACCUGUAUAAAUUCUGUGAGAUAAGUUUGAGUUUUGGUUGGUUUUGUUUGGGGUGUUUAAAAAAGAAUCAGUGUUUGAAUUUUUGGAGUCGUUUAUAAAUUCAGUUGCUUUUGCAUCUUUCAAAUUUUUUAAAAAAGAAUAUACAUCAUUUUGUGUUUUUUUUCCCCGAAAAGAAGCACAAGAAUAACCCUUUAGAAUAAACUUGGGUCUUGUUCCUAAGAUUAUGACACCUUUACUAGCGCUUUGCACACAGCAAAUACUCAAUAAACACUUGUUAUAUGUGAUUAAAUGCCCAGCCUUCCUGAAAAAUGGCCAUGGCAUAACAGAAUCUGAUGAAAUAGUAGAAGACAUAUUGCAUUGAGUGAAGCUACCUUACCCUCCAGAAUUAAGGGAAAUGUCAGCAUCUUCAGGGUUAAUUUUGUAAAUUCUUUAACAAGUUUUAGUUAAAUAUUAAAAUUAAAAUUUUAAUUUUCCCAGUCUACUAAUAGUUUGUCAUUGUUAUGGUUUUGCAACAUUUGAAUUUACAAUUUACUAUGUAUCCUAGCUUAAUUUAAGAGUUUUUCUUCUUUUUUUGAGAAACACUAUUAAGACUGACUGAAGAUCCAUGCUCCAAUCUUCCUCCAGGGCUGCCCACCACUGGUGUCUGCUCUGAGCUCCAUUGUCUCUGGCCCGGACUAUUGCAGUUUGCUUCCAGUUGGGCUUCCAGUCUCAUGCAAUCUACUCAUGCACAGGACUGCAGUCUUUCUGAAAUGCCAAUCUAAUCCUGGCUUGAGACCUACUGGAUAACAAGAGCUAACACUUAUUGUGCUUGGCGUUGUGUAAAGCAGUCAUUAUCUCAUUUAAUCCUAAUAACAAUCCCAUGAGAUAAUUCCCAUUUUACAGAGAAGCAAAGGGAGGCUCAGAGAGGUUAAGUAAAUUGUGCAAGUAAAUUGCAGCUUACAUUUUGAGCUUUAUUCACCCACUUAAUUACAUACACCCCUCCCCCUCACCACAGCCGCAUGAUGGCAGAAUGCUGUAAGUGUGAUGACACUUUUGUCAUAUGCUGUCUCUCCUGUCUGGAAUGUUUUUGUCUAUUUAACACUCAGAGGGGUCUUCUCCACUGUGAAGCCUUCCCAGACAGCUGUCCAACUCUAUACUUAAAUUCCCAGUAUUUCUCUAGCACACCUAUGUCAUGUGCUGCUUUGCCAUAGUUAGUUUAUCUGUCUUUCCCUUUUAUCAAAUGCCACGCAGGCUGAAACUUAACCAUAUUGCAUUAGUAUUCAUUUACACAAAGCCUGGUUAGUAGUAGAUACUUAAUAGUGUUUGUAAAAUGGAUGAACUGUGAGAUCCUCAAAGGUAUCUUACUGAUAUUUGUAUCCCCAAACAAAGCUACCACACCAGGAGGUCACCCUGGAAGGGAUCCACGUGAUGUGGACAAUUCUUCAAGUGUUCAUUCCUGAUAGUCAAUGGCCUGAGGAACUCACUUUCUCCCACCACUCUGUGUCCAAGCCCACUCCUGCACGCUCCUCAUUCUCUCGUGAAACUUCCAGCAACAUAGGCUUUAUCUUGGAGUCAUUCCUCAUUUGUUCUGCUCCCUGGUCCUGCCAUAUUGAAACAGUUGACAAGGCCUGUCAAUUCUUCCUGUGAAAUGUUUCUCACCUCCUUCCCUUCCUCCCUCUCUUUAUUGUCUAUUGCUUCUCUCCUAUUAUAGGUGGUGGCUCUUCAAUUUUUAAAUAGGAAGAACUGAGAGAAGGAAUCACAGGCCAGUUGCAAAAGGAGUUUAACAGACUGGCUUUGAAGCUGCCAUCACAGGACAAAAUGCUAUUGUAUUUAGAGUGCAUGUUACAAAUUAAUAAUAUAGCAAAGUUCUAUAUAAGUAUACCUUACAUAAAUUGAGAAAGUGUCCAUUGUAUAUAUCAAAUUAUACAUACAUCUAUAUGUAUAAUAUAUAUAUUUGUGAUAGAGGUUAUGCCAGGGGAGGCCCUACUUUAUACAGCAACUGCAAGAAUUGUUUCUUACAUGAUUUCUUUGACUCCAAGCACUUUCCCUUUUGUUGCUGGAUAAAUCUUCCUAAAGAACAGCUUUAAUAUUAUUAAUACUCACAAACCUUCACUGUCUCCCUAUUGCCUACUAAAUAAGGAACAAUCAUUCUGUACAUGAACUUUAGUGCCCUUCAUAAUAUAGAUCCCACUCAUUUUUUUGACUUUAUAUCCCAUGGGUCACUGUUGUUUUGUGUAUCAAUCAGGAACGCCAUUGGCUGCAGGUAACAGAACAUCUAAUGUAUGCUGGCUUAAACAGUGAACCCUUUUUUCUCACAUAAUAAGAAAUUAAGAGGUCUGCUGCAGGGCUGGUGCAAGUACCCAAUGAUGGUCAAAUGCUCCUUCUAUCUCUCUAUUCACCAUCCCAUCAUAUAGCUUUUAUUCCUCUGCUUAUCACCUCCGGACCUCAAGAGGCACCUCCAGGGAUCUCAUCCACAUUUCAAGCAGAAGAAAGGAGAGAGAGCAAAGGGCAAAAGUUUAAGGAAAGUUCAUGCUAAUUGCGCCUGUCCUAUUUUUAAGGAUAAAGUAAAUACUUUCCCACAAUCCUAACCCAGCAAUCUUCUGCUUAUGACUCAGUGACCAGAAGGGUGUCAUAGGGUGGAAGGUGCCUGGGGGAGGUGAAGUUGUGGAUAGAGGUGGGGUGGCCAAUUGGCAGCACCUGCCACCUCUCCCACCUUAAUCAGGCGGCUCACUCACUUUAUCCGCACCUGCCUCCCCAUGAUUUACUCCACCUUGGAUGAUCUUUGCCCUACUCUAUCUCUGCUUAUUGAAGUUCUUUCAUUUUUAAAAAAUCCUGAUAAAAUACCGCUUUCUCCAGGAAGCCUUCCUUGACUCCUUCUAAACCACUCUUACAAAAAUUUUCCUUCUGAGAUCAACCACUGUUUGUAUUUUGCUGUAUAUAGAACUCCUUACACUGUACUAUGGCUAAUGUUUGUUUUGUCUCCUUGUCUGCAUUUUGAGGUCCGAGAGGACAGGGAUUACGUCCAAUUCAUCUUUGUAUUUCCAAGGCAGCUCAGCACAGAGUAGUAUUCAAUAAGUAUUGAAUGGAUGCAUGCAUAUUCUGCAAUAUUCUAUUCUGAACAGAAAAGUCUGCAAUACCCACCCUGUAUCUAUAAUGGCUCCUCUGAUCCAAGUUAAAGAAGAACAUCUGCAGUCCUCUGUGAAUAUUGGCUGCUGUCUUCUGUCCUCAGUUGAGGCAGGGACAUCUGUGGUGGCAACCUGAUUAUCUACCAAUACUUUUUAUGUUUCUCUGCCCAAAUGUGCAGCUGUUUCCUGGGUGGGAAAGUAAAGAAACAGUGAAAAUCAGACAAAAUAACAGCAAUUUCAGCAGGAGAUUUGUGAGAAUAUUAGGCUUAAGUUAACAACCUCAAAAUUAUGUUACAACAUAAGGACUAAUAAUAUUAUACCAAUUAAUAAGCCCCUUAUGCCAGACACUGCACUUUAUAUGCAUUAUGCCACGGACUCCUCAUAAGAACAUACUCAUUUAUUAAAUGAGGAAACCAAGACUCAGAAAGGUUAAGAAAUUUGUGCAAGAUUACAUAGCUUUUAAGUGGCAGCACUGGGC